rnacentral:rRNA from 1 species
CCUACGGGUGGCAGCAGUGAGGAAUAUUGGUCAAUGGACGAGAGUCUGAACCAGCCAAGUAGCGUGAAGGAUGACUGCCCUAUGGGUUGUAAACUUCUUUUAUAUGGGAAUAAAAUGUUCCACGUGUGGGAUUUUGUAUGUACCAUAUGAAUAAGGAUCGGCUAACUCCGUGCCAGCAGCCGCGGUAAUACGGAGGAUCCGAGCGUUAUCCGGAUUUAUUGGGUUUAAAGGGAGCGUAGGUGGAUUGUUAAGUCAGUUGUGAAAGUUUGCGGCUGAACCGUAAAAUUGCAGUUGAAACUGGCAGUCUUGAGUACAGUAGAGGUGGGCGGAAUUCGUGGUGUAGCGGUGAAAUGCUUAGAUAUCACGAAGAACGCCGAUUGCGAAGGCAGUUCACUGGACUGCAACUGACACUGAGGCUCGAAAGUGUGGGUAUCAAACAGGAUUAGAUACCCUUGUAGUC